GGCACCAAUCUAAGCCCCAGCUAAGGUAAUACUCACCUGAGCAGAGCGUUUAUUCCAAAACCGAUUGAUUCAGAAAACUGACGGCAUUUUGAACUUGGUUAGCACUUUUUUACUGGGAAUUCAACAUGCCCUGACGGUCCAAUCCUGCUGUGUGCUGGCUGUGUCGAAGCCCUGAUAAAAAUGCUACUUCCCAGUGGAGGACAUUCAGUUCAUAUCUCAGCCACAUGAUUCAUCGCCACGUUAAAGCUGUCACAGCUUGCUCCAAAUGCACAAAUGUGGGGCCUAUGCAGGAGGGUGAAAUGCUGUCCUGAAAUACUGCACUGGUACUCCUUACCGUACAACUGUAUCAGCUCUGCACAAUAUACACCCUAAUUCACUCUGCCUCCCAACGGGACCAAUUAGAUUAUUUGCAGUACCAUGGUGAUGUGCCUGUGCUGUUUCCAGAUCAAGAAAUGCCUUGUUUGGUACUAGUGAGGAGGUCUGCACUGGACUGCCCAAAGAAGUACUCUGUGCUAUGGGAAGCCACCAGCAGACAGUACUGCAUGUGCCUUAAGGACUGGGCAUGUGAUGCAUUCGAUACAUGGUCCUGUGUGAAUGCACAAAUGAGGGGUCAGGACAUCACAGGCUGUUAAGAUGCCAUUGCAAGAGUCUGGAAGUAACUCUUUGCAAGAUCAGACCUUGAAAGCAGAGCAUCGCCUGCAACCCCCGACCUCUUGCCCAGCAGACCCCAAAUAACAGCCCUAAGUCAGAUGAAAGUUUUGGAGCCCUGAGCGCAGGACCGCUGUGUGAGACCUAAGAGAGUCCAUCUGUGUGAUUAGAAACACAGCCGGAACAACUGUGUUACUAACCCAUGUACCAAGACAGCUUCCAGACAAAAGCAGGCAGGGCUAAUGCAAUCCAGUGGGCCAUAUUUUCCUCACCUCGGGAAAACACUUCUGUGAGCAAGUGAAUUUCUUGAGUCUCAGAGAUGGCAGUAGCCCCAUCAUGAGGAUCAGGCAGGGGCAGUGACAGACUAAGCUAUGGGACAUCCUAAGAAGUAUCUUGGUUUUAAACCACUUUUUGAGACCCAGCAUCCCCAUGUUGCUGAGGGAUGCUCCCCACUGCCCUUGAGAAGCUGUGGUGCCCUUUGCUCCUCAUUUUGUGGGGCCAGCCUCCAACAUAUCUCUUCCAUUCCCGCUCAGUUCACCUGGAGCUACAGCCUGACUCAACAGCAAUUGCAGUGGUACCUAGAGCUAGCAAAUAUGCUGGGAAGCUGAAAUCGCCCAUUCCUUAGUUGUCUGUGCACCUUAUCUGCUCAUGGAACUGAAGACCAAAAAGGAGGUUCAAUUUUCCAUUAAAAUUUAAUAUUGCAGAAUAUAGCCCUGCAUCCUGUGUGCGUCAUACCACCUUUGAUAAAAUUACUUCUGAGCAACAGGGACAGAGGGAGGCCCUUACGUGUCCGUGCCAGAGCAGAGCCCUUCAAAACAGUGGAGUGAACGGUCUUGGGAAGGCUGAAGCCUCUGAGGGGGAUGGCAGGAGGAGUCACCCUACAUCUGUCCCUCACAUGGGAGCAAAAUCACAGUCGUGCGCGGGCAGACGGCGGGAGCUGGCGGUUGCAGACUGUGCACACCCAGGGAAAUUUGCAAUUCCAACAGCAGAUGGCACAGUCCUAAAACUAAACUCAGCCUGCGAGGCAGCCACGGGGAAACAUUGCCUGGGCUGCGAAUGUGAAAGCUCCUGCAAGAGGAUCCUGUGGAGUCAGUCUACUGAUUUGUCAGCAUAAGCAAACUGCCUUGAAAAUAGUGUAUUUUCUCUUCAGGAGAAACCAUUUAUAAAAGAAACUGCAUAUAUGAGACAAUCUGGUAGUGGUGAGUUUAGUUUAAGACUCUCAAGUACAGCUGACAGCUUAAAUGUAAUUAUAAGGUUUUUGGCAUCCAUGCCUCAUAAAGCACUCUUUUAAUUAUCCUUGUAUGAUCUAGAAACAAUUCAUAGUGGCCACAGAUACAAAGAAAUUCUAUUUACUGGAUGGAAAGUGAAACUCCACAACAAUUUAAUUGAACAGUAAUGUCUUAAAUUUGCUUUCGUGCGGACAUAAUUCUUUUGUGUUUCUUAGCCAUCAUCCAGAAUCUUACAGAAUUAGGCAUAAAAAUCGUGUUCUGUUACAUUUGGAAUUUUAUGAACUAAGUGAGAUUUGAGUAUAUCAAACCCAAAGCCCCCAGCCCUGUACAUAUGAGAAAAGCAGUGCAGCAGACUUGGCACUUUGGUUCCAUUAGCAUCAACAAGAUUGUUGGGCAAAUACACUUAUUUUGGCACUUUUUUUACAAACUUGCAGAACAAAACCUAGAGAUCUUCCCUCAAUAGGCAGUAUGGUAAGCCUGGAUGUAUAAUCCAGGACAACCAUUUCAUGAUGUUUGAGGAAUUAAGAAACUAAUCCAUCCUUUUGAUGCACUAAGGAAUUGCUAGAGGAAUUGUCUAGUGGUUAGAUCAGGAAACUGUGAGUCAAGGCAUCUGUUCCCCCCUUUGUCAGUGAAUCAUUUCCUCUUCUUCAAGUCCCACAAAACACCCAGACAGAAUCUGUCCCCAAGUAAAAUAAACUGUCUACCAGAUUCAGUCCUCAUGUAGCUCCCAGGCUACUGCUUGUGGUAGAAGCUCUAUCGUGUGUUAGAAUCUGAAAGCUUUAAACAUCAAAAGAGAAAGAUGUGUUGUGGUCCUGUAUGUGAAUUUUCCCUCUGCAGAUUUCACAGAGCCCAGAGCUCUGUUAUCAGCUGCCCUGUGAUAGCACAUAGAAUCUUGACCACAUAGCAUGGUCCUCAUUUUGGUAGAUGUCAUAGAAGUGCAGAGAAAAAGACUUUUCCAAUGCUAAGAAGCAUGUAAUUUAUAUUAGUAACAUUUAAGGACUGGACUAUCCACCUUGCUUAAGGAUCUGGUGACUUUCUUGCAGUUAGGAAGAGGCUGCUGUAUUCAGAGAGCGAUUCAAUCCACAAAUUUUCAAUCUUUUCCUUGGGAUAGGAUGAAUUGUUUUCUGGAGCUGUCUGUCUCCACUGUUUAUAGAAGGAAAUGUCAAGCGAUUUUACUCCUAACUUACUGCCUCAGUUCAGUGCUUGAAUGGCCAUCCUUGACUCCUGCUGUAGGCGUCAGACCACAUUAAGCACCAAUUCCUUAAGUUUAACAAAAGUGUAUUUGCCGCUGUGUUGUUCUUUCAACAGCACCAGUUGCUGCUGCUGGUUUUGCAGUUGCCACACAUUCCCUGACCCCCCCACCACUGCACACUGAGGACUGCUGCGGCUCUUCUGUUCAGUGGUGUCUGCUCAGGAACCAGCACCUUCCCGGAGGCAGUCAGCGGUGGGCAAACAGAGAAACAGCGCGAUGCUUUACUGCCCAACACGCUAAUCGGUCAUCCUCUUCCACUGCUAAUCAAGCAAACAAAAAUAUGUGCUCUCAGAGAUAACAAGGAUUAAAGGGUUUACAGUUAUUUCCCACAGGGAUUCCAGGCAUUCCCAUAUUUGCAGUAAUUCCCAGAAGUUUACAUCCCAGUUGCCUACACAAGGAGAGCAGUGGUCUUCAACGAUCAGAGAAACACGAGUUCUGAGCCAAAUAACCCUGCAGAAAUGUCUUGAAUGCUUGGGAUUCCUCCUCCAGAAAUAUCUGUCUGACACAAGAGGAGGUUAAUCUCACCUAUCUGCAGCUUUCUAAAAGGCUGGUGAGCAGGAACCCUCGGUAACCAAUGGAGGCAGAGGAGCAAUUUCAGGCAAUGGGUUUGCCUAGGGCAUCUCUACUAGGAAGACAUCCAAUCUUGAUCUGAAAACAUCAAGAGACAGAGAAUCCAACCCUACUUUUGGAAUUUCUUUCUGCUUCCAUGCUUUAUCUUCUGACCAAAUUUCAUAGUGUAUGGAGUAGAGGAAUGUGCGUGGGAAACACUCGGCUGGCUGCACUCCUGGCUGCGCCGCACACCCUCCUCUCCCGCCGCCCAAGCGUGAAGCCCUUCCCACCGCUCACCAAACCCGCUGUCACACAUUUCACCUGCCUGCAAACUGAAAAAGGCUGAAGCCCUCCAGAGUGGUUCUAAACUUACAGGUCAAAGAGCCUGAGAAAGAGCCUGCAACAAAAGCCAGGGUUUUACUUUUCAUGAUAUCAAACCAAUAAGUGAGGAGCUUGUGGAGACCUGCUCACACGCUGAACCUGGAGAACAGAGGGGAAAACCCAAACCAGUAUUGCUGCAUCGCUAAUGGCGCAGAGGCUCAGAUAACAACUAUGGCUGCUGGAUAUUUAGGCUCUGAUUUAACCCACCUUUCCUGGCUCCCUUUACAGCUCACGUUUAAACAACAAGCACUUUUUCUUUCCCAAGGCUUUUUCUUAAUUGGAUUUUUGUUGUGCUUUUUUUUUUCUUCUCAUCUGUGGCUUAAGAAACUGUAAGAAAAUAGCUUGGAGGAACCAAAAAGAACCAGUGCUCCAAAGAAUUUCAGGCAGGAAUUACACAGCUUUCCUAAAAAGCCA